UACGAAGGGGGCUAGCGUUGUUCGGAAUUACUGGGCGUAAAGGGCGCGUAGGCGGUCCGCUCAGUCAGAAGUGAGAGCCCCGGGCUCAACCUGGGAAUUGCUUUUGAUACUGGUGGACUUGAGUUCCGGAGAGGAUGGUGGAAUUCCCAGUGUAGAGGUGAAAUUCGUAGAUAUUGGGAAGAACACCGGUGGCGAAGGCGGCCAUCUGGACGGACACUGACGCUGAGGCGCGAAAGCGUGGGGAGCGAACAGG
rnacentral:rRNA from 1 species